GGCGCGAUGGCCGAGUGGUUAAGGCGACAGAUUCGAAUCCUCUUCACAAGUGAUCUGUUCCGGUUUCCGGGCGCAGGUUCAAAUCCUGCUCGCGUCG